CCUACGGGAGGCAGCAGUGAGGAAUAUUGGUCAAUGGACGAGAGUCUGAACCAGCCAAGUAGCGUGAAGGAUGACUGCCCUAUGGGUUGUAAACUUCUUUUAUAUGGGAAUAAAACAGGGUAUGCAUACCCGCUCGUAUAUACCAUAUGAAUAAGGAUCGGCUAACUCCGUGCCAGCCACCGCGGUAAUACGGAGGAUACCAGCGUUAACCGGUAUUAUUGGGGUUAAAGGGAGCGUAGGUGGAUUGUUAAGUCAGUUGGGAAAGUGUGCGGCUCAACCGUAAAAUUGCAGUUGAAACUGGCAGUCUUGAGUACAGUAGAGGUGGGCGGAAUGCGUGGUGUAGCGGUGAAAUGCUUAGAUAUCACGAAGAACUCCGAUUGCGAAGGCAGCUCACUGGACUGCAACUGACACUGAUGCUCGAAAGUGUGGGUAUCAAACAGGAUUAGAUACCCUUGUAGUC
rnacentral:rRNA from 1 species